rnacentral:lncRNA from 1 species
CCAAACUUUACUUCUAAAAACGCAUUACAGAUGCAUUCUUUUUAAUGUCUAAGGCUCCUUUUCAUCAUAAUUUUGCUGUAAGGAAGAGUGGAGCCCUUGUGAUUGAGAUCAGUCUCUUUUUUUCCCUUGAAUAUCAAACUGGAUCAUUGAGGUCAGUCUUUUACACCUCUCACCCUGGAAUCCUGCAAGAAAAGAAAUCUAGGCAGAU